rnacentral:rRNA from 1 species
GACGAACGCUGGCGGCGUGCUUAACACAUGCAAGUCGAGCGGAGCGGCGAACGGGUGAGUAACGCGUGAGUAACUGCCCCCCUCUCUGGGAUAACAGUUGGAAACGGCUGCCAAUACCGGCUAGUGGGGGAUGACUCGCGUCCUAUCGGCUUGUGGGUGGGGUAGUGGCAUACCAAGGCGACGACGGGUAGCCGGCCUGAGCGGGCGACCGGCCACAUUGGGCGGAGGUACGUCCCAGACUCCUACGGGAGGCAGCAGUGGAGAGUAUUGCACAAUAGGGGAAACUCUGAUGCAGCAACGCCGCGUGCGGGAUGACGGCCUUCGGGUUGUAAACCGCUUUCAGCGAUGACGCGGUAGUGGAAGAAGAAGCACCGGCUAACUACGUGCCAGCCGCCGCGGUAAUAC